AUUGAACGCUGGCGGCAUGCCUUACACAUGCAAGUCGAACGGUAACAGGUUAAGCUGACGAGUGGCGAACGGGUGAGUAAUGUAUCGGAACGUGCCCAGUCGUGGGGGAUAACUGCUCGAAAGAGCAGCUAAUACCGCAUACGACCUGAGGGUGAAAGCGGGGGAUCGCAAGACCUCGCGCGAUUGGAGCGGCCGAUAUCAGAUUAGGUAGUUGGUGAGGUAAAGGCUCACCAAGCCGACGAUCUGUAGCUGGUUUGAGAGGACGACCAGCCACACUGGGACUGAGACACGGCCCAGACUCCUACGGGAGGCAGCAGUGGGGAAUUUUGGACAAGGGGCGCAAGCCUGAUCCAGCCAUGCCGCGUGCGGGAAGAAGGCCUUCGGGUUGUAAAACGCUUUUGUCAGGGAAGAAAAGGUUCUGGCUAAUACCUGGGACUCAUGACGGUACCUGAAGAAUAAGCACCGGCUAACUACGUG
rnacentral:rRNA from 1 species